GACGCUCAUCUCAUAGUGAAAUACCGGUUCCCGUACGAUCACUAAAGUUAAGCAACGUCGAGCCUGUUAUGUACCAAGAUGGGUAACCGCGUGGAAAUACCAAGUGCUGUAAG